AGGAGAUGCAGGAGUUCACCCGUAGCUUCUUCCGAGGCCGCCCGGACCUCAGCACGCUUACGCAUUCCAUCGUGCGGCGGAGGUACUUAGCUCACUCGGGCCGCAGCCACCUGGAGCCCGAGGAGAAGCAGGCACUGAAGCGGCUGGUGGAGGAGGAGCUGCUGAAGAUGCAGGUGUGCCGGGCCGGAGCCUGGGCCGCGGGAGGCGGAGGCGGGGCUUGCUGCUGAGGAGGAGGGGCCUGACGGGGCGCGGUGAGCGCAGCCUUGGUGCAUAGUUUGCCCUCUUGGCGCACACACAGGUGGAUGAAGCCGCUUCCAGGGAAGACAAACUGGACCUUACCAAGAAGGGCAAGAGGCCUCCCACCCCUUGUAGCGACCCGGAGAGAAAAAGGUUCCGCUUCAAUUCAGAGUCGGGCUGGCUCAGGUCGCCGUGGAGAGGACCACCCGGCUGUGAUGAGGCUGAAGCGCUACAUUCGGGCCUGUGGUGCCCAUCGAAACUACAAGAAGCUGUUGGGCUCCUGUUGCUCACACAAGGAGCGCCUGAGUAUCCUCCGGGCAGAACUGGAAGCGCUAGGCAUGAAGGGUGAGGCCCGGCGUGCCCUGGGGGCUGCAGGAGAGGGCCUUCCUGCUGGGGAGGAGAGAAUCACCAGCUUCUUCUGCCCCAGGUACCCCUUCCCUAGGGAAGUGUCGGGCCCUGAAGGAGCAGAGGGAGGAGGCAGCUGAGGUGGCCUCCUUGGAUGUUGCGAACAUCAUCAG
rnacentral:lncRNA from 1 species